rnacentral:rRNA from 1 species
GGGUUAAGUCCCGCAACGAGCGCAACCCCUACGUUUAGUUGCUAACGUGUAACGAUGAGCACUCUAGGCGGACUGCCGUUGACAAAACGGAGGAAGGUGGGGAUGACGUCAAAUCAUCAUGCCCCUUAUGUUCUGGGCUACACACGUGCUACAAUGGCCGGUACAAAGGGACGCAAAGCCGCGAGGUGGAGCAAAUCCGAUAAAAGCCGGUCUCAGUUCGGAUUGCAGGCUGCAAUUCGCCUGCAUGAAGUCGGAAUCGCUAGUAAUCGCAGGUCAGCAUACUGCGGUGAAUACGUUCCCGGGCCUU